rnacentral:rRNA from 1 species
CAGGUCUGUAGCAAUACAGAUGCUGGCGACCGGCAAACGGGUGCGGAACACGUACACAACCUUCCUUUAAGUGGGGAAUAGCCCGGGGAAACCCGGAUUAAUACCCCGUAACAUAUCGAAAAGGCAUCUUUUUAAUAUUAAAGCUCCGGCGCUUAAUGAUGGGUGUGCGCCUGAUUAGGUAGUUGGCGGGGUAACGGCCCACCAAGCCUUCGAUCAGUAACUGGUGUGAGAGCACGACCAGUCACACGGGCACUGAGACACGGGCCCGACUCCUACGGGAGGCAGCAGUAAGGAAUAUUGGUCAAUGGACGCAAGUCUGAACCAGCCAUGCCGCGUGGAGGAUGAAGGUCCUCUGGAUUGUAAACUUCUUUUAUCUGGGACGAAAAAGGGUCUUUCUAGAUCAACUGACGGUACCAGAUGAAUAAGCACCGGCUAACUCCGUGCCAGCAGCCGCGGUAAUACGGAGGGUGCAAGCGUUAUCCGGAUUCACUGGGUUUAAAGGGUGCGUAGGUGGGUCUGUAAGUCAGUGGUGAAAUCCCCGAGCUUAACUUGGGAACUGCCAUUGAUACUAUAGCUCUUGAAUACUGUGGAGGUCAGCGGAAUAUGUCAUGUAGCGGUGAAAUGCUUAGAUAUGACAUAGAACACCAAUUGCGAAGGCAGCUGGCUACACAAAUAUUGACACUGAGGCACGAAAGCGUGGGGAUCAAACAGGAUUAGAUACCCUGGUAGUCCACGCCCUAAACUAUGGAUACUCGACAUUUGCGAUACACUGCAAGUGUCUGAGCGAAAGCAUUAAGUAUCCCACCUGGGAAAGUACGAUCGCAAGAUUGAAACUC